UGAGGCAGCAGCCAAGCAGCACCAAGUUCCUGUGUCAGCAGCUGUUCCUAUUAUUCCAUGACUGGUGAGGAGUUCUUUCCUGGAGUGCCCUGCCUGUUAGCAAAACACCAGGCCCAAAGGAUCCUGGCAAGUGCAGCACUGGAAGAGACAGGAAUACUCAAAAAUGCACCAGUUCUCAGGAAGCUCAACUUUGUAAAACAUUUAUGAAGCUGAAAUUCCAUAGUAUUGAGCUGUUCGGUCCCAAAUAAUAUUGGAGGGAGAGGCAGAAAAUGCCACUGCUGCUGGGGCUGAACUGUCUGCAGUGAGUGGGCAGGACUUGCCCCUGAUGCCUGAGUGCAUCUUUAGGAUGGAUCCCAACUGUGAGCCCCUGGCUCCAUACCUUGAGAAGAUGGUGUUCCUGCAAGCCCAGCUGCUGUGUUGGUGGUCCUGGGGGCACCUCUUGCCCUGGCCUGCUGUGACUGUGUUUGUGCUGCAGCUCAAUAAAGUCUCUUUCAGUGGUGA